AUGCAAGCUACCGGCUAAGAAAGAACUCAUAAAGAAAUAGGCUAAUGCUCUCCAUCCAACAUAUCGCACAACUAAAUAAUCGAAGGAAAACUGAACGAUAAUAUUCCAAAAGUGCAUUAAAGUGAAAGGAAGACGGCGAACAACAAGGGGACGGAAUGCGUAGAAUAAAAGCUGGAAAGUGCAAAAAAAUGCCUUUCCAAGCACAUUAUCAAAUAAAAUAAGUUCGGCACGAGUGGGCAAAUCAGUGUCCAUACCAUCAACACCUUGAUAGGCAUGAUGUUCCAUAUGAUAGGGCCGAAAGCUUGCAGCAAAAGGAGCACCUACAGGUAAAUUAGCAAACAAACAAUAAGCACGAUUGUAAAGAGUUUUUUUAAAACCAAGGUUGUGACUCAACUCGUGAAUGGCUAAAAAGAGAUUUUGGUUGCAAAAGGCACCAAUAAAGUAGGCAGUUAAAAAGAAUUUCCAACUCAGUAGUGAACUUUGUGAAAGCAAGUAAGCACAUGUGAAUUGGAGAGACACCACGCCGAGAACAAUCCACUUGGUCAAAGGUUCAUAACCAUUGAGAGAGGCGAUCUCAGGAUGGGCCUUCAAAAUAGCAGCACGACGACUUUUAUGAGGCUCUUCCGUGUAUGUCCAGUAAAAUUGAUGAACAUCUUCACUAUCAGCAUUCCAAGACUCU